AAGUACCCCGAGGAAAAGAAAUCAACCGAGAUUCCCCCAGUAGCGGCGAGCGAACGGGGAGCAGCCCAGAGUCUGAAUCAGCUUGUGUGUUAGUGGAACGGUCUGGAAAGUCCGACGGUACAGGGUGAUAGUCCCGUACACCAAAAUGCACAGGUUGUGAACUCGAAGAGUAGGGCGGGACACGUGGUAUCCUGUCUGAAUAUGGGGGGACCAUCCUCCAAGGCUAAAUACUCCUGACUGACCGAUAGUGAACCAGUACCGUGAGGGAAAGGCGAAAAGAACCCCGGCGAGGGGAGUGAAAAAGAACCUGAAACCGUGUACGUACAAGCAGUGGGAGCACCUUCGGGUGUGACUGCGUACCUUUUGUAUAAUGGGUCAGCGACUUAUAUUCUGUAGCAAGGUUAACCGUAUAGGGGAGCCGCAGGGAAACCGAGUCUUAACUGGGCGUUAAGUUGCAGGGUAUAGACCCGAAACCCGGUGAUCUAGCCAUGGGCAGGUU
rnacentral:rRNA from 1 species